rnacentral:rRNA from 1 species
AUGCCCAUGGUUGGCGAGCUGCUGCUGAUGGUUGGAAUCCUGAUGGUCGUGCCCGUAGUUCUUCUAACCAUGGCUGAGUUGCUGCUGAUGGUUGGAACACCGCCGCCUUGUGAGGAUGCGGACGGCUUUGACGACGUCCACACCGUGUUCGUGCAGGGGCAUCACCGCCUCCGGUGUGGAGUGACCUCACGAAGGGUGUCCUCUAAUGCGGCUGAUUUUAUUGCCGGUGAGGAGAAAGAGCAUGCACCCAUGGUUUUCAACCGUGUCCUGCAGCCGGAGGAACUCAGAAUCCUGCGAUAG